GGAAGACAGGUUUAGGCAGGACUUUGCCAAAGAGGCCCAGUCGUGGGUCCUUUGUUCCACUGACCGUGGUUGUGUUGUUUUCUCUUUCUCGUCCGUCUCCCGGGCACAAAGCCUCUGCAGCUCCAAGUGUUUCCGACCGGCAGCACACAGUCGCAUUGUUGUUCAUGGGAGUUUCUCCAAGAUUUCCACACCAGGACAUGGCACGCGCAGAUAGUGGUGAAGUGAAGUGGUGAAUGAUGCUGCAGGCUGUGUCCAGAAGUCGGGUGAUGAGGGACGCUCCCGGCCUUUAUCUGUCCCAUCCCUGGGGAAGAAGGGACUGGUCAUCUUCUUUCCUGAAGCCUGAUUGAGAGUGUGCUGUUGGUAGUUUCAUUCGCACCACCCAGGAGAGUUAAAUAUUCCCAUAUCUGGAGCACAGACCUCUGUUCCCAUGCAAUUGUUCAGGGAUGGGUCCCAGACAUUAGUGAUUUUCAUUGAUUCCAAUGUCAACUGGGAUUAAAAAUAAAAACAAAAAAACAAA
rnacentral:lncRNA from 1 species